GGCGGUGCCUCGAUUUGCCUAAACUUUAAAGAAAAAUUAAAAGAAAAUGAAAAGCUUUUGAGGUUCCCUAAAGCAAAAUAAAAAACAAAAACUGAAAGAAAAAACCUGUCGUUAACACCUUUCAUCUCCUUUGCAUUCUGUCCUUAUAGUGGAUAAACUGGUUUAAACUAUCCUUUUUCUGUAAAAAAAAUUCAUUUAGAAGCACUUGUUACCAAAUUUCUCCUAAUCUGAGUUCAACAUCGAGUGGUAAGGAUAGACACUUGACGCGUUGUAAUGCUUCCUAGACUCAGAAAAAAAUUCCAUAAUCUACUGAUUACUAGAUCCUUCUUUGGUCGUUGACAAUGAUGGGUUCUAUAUCAGUCAGUACUUCUUCAACCCAAUAGAUUGAGUUAUCUAGGUUGUAUCUUCGACUAGCAAGGGCAUGCGCUGCUUCAUUUGUCUUUCGAGGGGUAUACUCAAAAGAUAAGGUAAUAAAAUUGUGAUUUCUCCUUUGGAUUUCAUAAAUAAUGUUACCAAUCACCGAUCUAUCCACUGAAAAUGACUUAAUUUUUUUAAUGACUGUGAGGGCAUCUCCUUCAACUACCAAUUUCAAAAACCCAUUUCUUCCCCAAAAAUGAUGGCCUGGAGAUACGCCUUUGCUUCCGCAACGGUCGGAUCCCUUUUCCUUCCUAAUGGGUAAGAACACGCUCCUAUAACGGAUCCUUCGUGGUUUCUUAAAAUAAUACCCGCAGUUGCUGUUAUAUCUUGUCGUGAGUAUGAUGCGUCAAAGUUUGCUUUGAUCUGUCUUUCUAUUGGGGGUCUCCAAAACAUUUCUCUUAGGCUUAGAUUGGUCUCUGUUGAUGAUUAAACUUGCUCUAACUCCCUUAAAAAAGCCUUAAUAAAACCGGCAACCUCUUGUACUCUUUCCUUUUUGCCUUUGUGGUAAAUUCUAUUUCUUUUGUACCAUAUUUUCCAAAUAGUAAUUGCCAAUUCUGUGCAUACUUGAAUAUUAUUCUUGUGGAAGAAAAAGGAUGACUAUUGUUUCUAUGCUUGUCUUGCAUUUAUUUGCGAGGUGUCCAACCCAACUUCCUGAAAGACCUGUUGUGUGAAUUCACAAUCACGAAAUAGAUGUUCCACGGUUUCUUCCUCAAUCAAGCAAACCGGACAAGCUGCAUUGGUCUUAAGUCUUCGGAAUUUAAGAGUACUGAGCGUCGGAAAAAAGUUAUUGCCCACCCUCUACAGAUGUAUCUUUAUUUUACUUGGGAUUGGGAAAUUCCAAAGUUUUGUAAAAUAAUCUUUGUUGGUGAUUUGGUCUGUAACAUAAUCUUGUAUGUGUAUAGUCUUAGUCAUUAGCCAUUUAGAACCAUUUUGUACUGUGUAUUCGCCUGAUUUGUCCCCUCGCCAUACAAGAACAUCUGGUUGCAUUCUGUUUACCAAAAGGAUCAUCAACACUGCCUCCGUUUGCUUUCUUUCGAGGGUAGGUAGCCAAGCGUCAUUCUAGAUAUUUGUUGAUUCACCAUUCCCUAUCCUCCAGCCUGUUUCUUCUUCAAGUAAGCUUCAUGCAUUCCAAAUACUACGCCUGGUAAAUGAGGGGGAAGCUCCUAACCUUGCAUUUAAAAAAUUAUCACGCCGAUAAUAUUUCAAUUUCAUAACGCGCGCAAACAAACAGUCGGGUUGGGUGAUUAGCCUCCAUCCCUGUUUAGCCAACAGGGCCGUAUUAAACAUUGGUAAGUCCUUAAACCCCAUACCCCCGAAUGCUUUUGGGCUACACAUCCCUGACCAACUAUACCAGUGGAUACCCUUGUUAGUUUUUAAAUUUCGCCACCAAAAUUUACUUAUCAGAUUUUCUAAAUCUUUGCAAAGUAAAACUGGUAAUUUAAAACACUGCAUGGCAUAAAUCGGAAGGGCUUGUAAAAUUGAUUUGAUGAAAAUUUCUUUUCCUCCAAUGGACAAAUUACGAAUACUCCAAUUCUUUGUCUUUUGGAUGAAUCUCUCUUUUAAUUCAAGAAAACACCUCAUUUUUCUUCUAAUCAUUGUAGGUAAGCUUAGAUACUUUUCUGGAUUAUUUGAAAUCCGUACCCCCAAAACUCCCCCUAUCUGCCUUUGUAUAUCGUCUUGUACGUUUUUGCUGAAAUAGAUUAACUUCUCGAAAUUCA